rnacentral:lncRNA from 1 species
CGGAGGGAGAGAUGGGUACUGUGUGAUAAACAUAGUGCUAAGCAUUUCAUAUGCUUUAUAUGAUGUUAUCCUCAUGUCUCUGCAAGGUAAAUACUAUUGUUAUCACCACAUUAACGUGAGACACAGAGACAUCUAGAAGAUUACAGGAUGUGAGCAAGCUCACAAGCAAGUGGCAGAGUUGGGACUAGAAUCCAGGCAGUGCACUCCUGAGCUAUGAAAAACUUCACCCUGCAAAGUGCUGGGCAAACCCCUCAUUCAGAGCCAGCAUUUUACAGGGCAGUGCAGUUACUUUCAGGGAGGAAGUAAUCUCAAGACUCUCAUGACUAUGUCUGCUCUGCUUUCUUCACAGGCUUUUAAUUUCAGUCUAAUUCAAGUCAGCAGCAUAGGGCAGCUCCUGGGAAAUUGGUUUACACAUGCGGACAAGCCCAGUAGCCCAGAGCUAACCCACUCACCAUCCCUGACCACAGAGGAGCAGAUAAGGAAGCAAGAUUUGUCGGGAGAAGCAGAGGGAGUUUUGAGACAGGAGAGGAGGCAGAAAGUAAAAUGAUAUGGUCAUAAGCCAUGGAACAUCUGGAGCUACUAGAAGCUGGAAGAGGAAAGAGAGGAUUCUUUUCUAGAAUCUUCAGGUGGGCAACCCUGUUGACACUUUGAUUUUGGAUUUUAACCUCUAGAACUAUGAGAGAAUGAACUUCUGUAAUGUUUAGUGACCCAGCAAAGCUAAUUUUGCUUUGUCACAGAAGCCAAAGGAAACAUUAGGUUGGUGCAAAAGUAAAUGCUGUUUUUCCAUUAAAAGUAACGACAAAGAGCAAUCAAUUUAGCAUCCUCCUAAUAAUACAUCCCA